rnacentral:rRNA from 1 species
ACUCCUACGGGAGGCAGCAGUGGGGAAUAUUGCACAAUGGGCGAAAGCCUGAUGCAGCAACGCCGCGUGAGGGAUGACGGCCUUCGGGUUGUAAACCUCUUUUAGUAGGGAAGAAGCCGGUGACGGUACUUGCAGAAAAAGCACCGGCUAACUACGUGCCAGCAGCCGCGGUAAUACGUAGGGUGCAAGCGUUGUCCGGAAUUAUUGGGCGUAAAGAGCUCGUAGGCGGUUUGUCGCGUCUGCUGUGAAAACUGGAGGCUCAACUUCCAGCCUGCAGUGGGUACGGGCAGACUAGAGUGCGGUAGGGGAGAUUGGAAUUCCUGGUGUAGCGGUGGAAUGCGCAGAUAUCAGGAGGAACACCAAUGGCGAAGGCAGAUCUCUGGGCCGUAACUGACGCUGAGGAGCGAAAGCAUGGGGAGCGAACAGGAUUAGAUACCCUGGUAGUCCAUGCCGUAAACGUUGGGAACUAGAUGUAGGGGCCAUUCCACGGUUUCUGUGUCGCAGCUAACGCAUUAAGUUCCCCGCCUGGGGAGUACGGCCGCAAGGCUAAAACUCAAAGGAAUUGACGGGGGCCCGCACAAGCGGCGGAGCAUGCGGAUUAAUUCGAUGCAACGCGAAGAACCUUACCAAGGCUUGACAUAUACCGGAAACCUGCAGAAAUGUGGGCCCCGCAAGGUCGGUAUACAGGUGGUGCAUGGUUGUCGUCAGCUCGUGUCGUGAGAUGUUGGGUUAAGUCCCGCAACGAGCGCAACCCUCGUUCUAUGUUGCCAGCACGUUAUGGUGGGAACUCAUAGGAGACUGCCGGGGUCAACUCGGA